rnacentral:lncRNA from 1 species
AAGGAAUUGCUGCUGAAAUUAGCAUAUCACCUUUGCUUUGAGUUCAACCUUGUGCUGAUUUAGCACCAUCAUCCUCUAGCUUCCUUCCCUCUUGGAAGGCCUCCUGAGCUAGAGAAACCUCACACACACUCACCAAACCUCCACUGAACCAUUUCACAAACACUUGGCAUGCACUGCUUUCACCAACAUUUCUUCAUUCCGCUGGCAUUUCUGAAUCCAGAAGCCACUUCAUUCUUGAGGGUGGAGGUCGCUUGCAUCAUUUGGCAUCAAGAGCCAACACGUCCACGCCUUGCUUCAAUAGCUAAGUUGCUAGUUCUUUCAUUUUCUACACUUUCGAAUUGUGUUGUUCUAUAUUUGUCACUGUUUGAUUGUUUUUCUUGCUUCAUUUUGUGUUUGAGUGCAUAAUUGCUUUCGUUCACUAUUCCUUAGUGUUUCUUUAUCAUUUUAAUUGGUGCAAUUCAUUCAUUUUAUUUCAAUUCCAGCUUUAUUUUCAGUUUCGCAUUGUCCACUAUGAUGUGCAAUUUUGUUUGCCGUUUUGAACUUUGUCAAGUAAUUGAUUUUGUUCCAGCUUUAAUUCUUUCGGUUUUGAUUGUGUCCAAUGCAUUUGCUAACUCUAUGUUCAUCAUAUAAAGCAAUGGCAUCAUGUCCAACUUUGAUCAUUUGAGAUAAAGCAAUGCAAUCUUUGUUUCCAGUUACAAAAGCUGCAUAAAAAAAAAUUGAUUUCAGUUUGAUCUGGUGCAAUCUGUUUUUGUCCAUAUUUUGUGCUUCUAAACCUUUGUGCAUGUUUGUUUAACAUUGGUAAGCAUUACUUAAGGUGUAGCAACUCAUAUUAAUCACAGAAUUGCAAAAUGAGUGGUUGAGUUCAUUAAAAUAUGGUUUCAAAAUUUUUGCAUCAAAACUCAUUUCUGGUUUAAUCAUGUCACGUUGUUCUGUCCAUAUUUAUUGAUCCUAAUGCUUGAGACAAGUUUAUUUGAUGAAUUUAAACAUGUUUCAAGUGCUAGAAAUCUGAAUUCACCACUGAAUCUCAAAAUCAGUAGUUGAGUUGAUCAAAACUCUGGUUUUAAAACUAUCACUGUUUUUUAUCAAAGUGUAUGCACCGUGCUUGUCGUCCUUGCUUGAGUUUAGGUCCUUUAAAUUCUGCUAGCUUAUAUUCUACAACUAGAUCUAGUCAUUUAGGACUUUCUUCUGCUUUGAAUGAACCAACUAGCUUUGCAUCCACUGUUUUAUCAACUCUACAACAAUUUUCAAUACAUUUUUCUGCAUUUUAAGCAACUGCUACUGUCAAUUGUUGAUUAUGUGUAUUUUUGUGCUAUUUCAACGUUUGUGCACAUGCAUUUUACCAUUUGAAAGUUGUGUGUACUAUUCAUUGUUCAAUUUUGAGCCAAUGUGCAAAAUCACUUCCUAAACCAUCAAUUUUGCUUAAAUGUGGAAGUUAACUAGUGAAUUUCGAGUGCAAUGUAUUUCUUUGUUGUCUCAGUGCCUAAACACCUUCAAAUUGAUGAUAAAAAGUUGCUCAAAGCAUCAAUUUAUGUUUCCAAACGUCUUUAUACAGAAUAACCCAUUAAACCACCAAAUUUUGCUUAAAUUUGGAAGUGAAAAAUGAUUUUCGAGUGCAGUGUGAUUCCUUGUUUCAGUGUUUAAACACCUUCAAAUUGAUGAUAUAAAGUUGCUUGAAGCAUCACUUGAGCUUUAGAAACACUGCCAGUCAUUUUUGGGUUUGAAAACACACUUUUGAAGCCACUUUUCUGGUGUAGUAGGCUAUUUUGUUGCUUUUUGAAAAUUUUCCAAUCUUUAAAACUCAUUUCUGGAUUGGCAAGAGUUGGUAUGAUGUUUCCAAAUGAAAUUAUAUGAUCAAAACAAUAUAAAACAUCCAUAAAAAGAAAAAGAAAACCAAGCAAUCCAGUUUUGAACCCUAAAACCAAAAAUUCCAAAAAUCUGCACUUCUUUGGGGACUUUCAUCAAACAAUUUGCAAAAUUAUCAAACAGUUUACUGCACUACUUUUGGCUUUUCGUUUUUCCUUUUCCUUGCGUGUUUAAUCUGAUCUAGUGCCUCUCCUAGGUUCCUUUUGUGUGCCUCCAUUGAUUCAAAACUUAAAAUCCUUUGAAAUCAACUUGUUUGGACUCCAAAUCGUGCCAUAAAGUUUCUUACCCGAAAUUAAAAAUUUGGUGUAGUGCAGAGUUGUUGUGACUGGUUUGGUGUGUAGCAGGGUGCUGUGAUGUUUUGGUGAGGCUUCCAAGGUCCAGAAUCCUUGCUCAAAGGGUGUAGCAUCUUAGGAAGUGGAAGAUGUGUUAAAUUGGCUACAAGCUUGCAACUCAAAGUGCCACUUUUUCCUUUCUCAUACAACAACAAUUUUGCAGCAAACACCACACUUUUUUUCUCCCAAUUUUGGACCUGCACAACUCUGAGCCAACAGCCACACUUGGCUUUGUUCACUUGUAAGCAUAUUUUCAUGUAUUUUUUAUUCAUUGCAUCAUGGAACCUUUGCGGUUUAUUUGGCUUUUAUUUUGCAAUUUAAAGUGGCUUGGAAAAAUGCUUUUAAGCAAUUUCAAGUGCACAAUCAAACAUUGUAAUAUCUUAGUUUCCACUUCUUAGUGUGCGAGUGUGUUAAGGGGCUCAAAGUGUCACUUGCACUUUCACUUAGGACCGCAUAUCAUUUUUCAUU